rnacentral:rRNA from 1 species
AUGCCGUCGUGUCUGCCCUACUACGCGCCCGUGUCCUCCGAUGAACCUGAGGAGUCCUCCGUGUCCACCGUCGUCGCCACGGCGGUCGGCACCGGGCACCACACGCUCAGGGUCCAGGGCUACUCGCGACUCGAGACCAUGCACGGCGGCAACGGCACCUACGUGGAGUCCAGCGCGUUCAAGGCAGCAGGCCACACCUGGAGGAUCUAUUGCUACCUCGACGGGAAGCGCCCGGAGGACGCCGGCUUCGUCUCGCUAUUCCUCAUGUGCGACCCCGCCAAUGCCUCCACCGGCAACGCCCUCGCCGCCGAUGCCACCACCGGCAACGCCCCCGCCCCCGAUGCCUCCACCGACAACGCCCCUGCCACCGCCGCCGCUGCUGAGAGUGUCGUCCACGCGGAGUAUGAGUUCGCCCUGGUGCACCACCGAGGCACGCUGAUAAAGUGGCCGUCGCGCAGCGUGCGCGGGAGCGCCUCCGCCUUUUGCUCGAGCAAGAUGUGGGGCUUCCUGCGGUUCAUCAGCAAGGAGGACCUGGAGGGCUCCAGGUUCCUCAAGGACGACUGCUUUGCCGUCAGGUGCAAGGUCACCGUCCUUCAGGAGUUGGCCAUCAAGGAAGAGGACGCGAGGCCCCUUGGCCCUGGGAAGGCGUUUGCUAGGUUUCUAUGUAGUUCCAUCCGUGGAUAG